GUUGCUAACGUUUUCCAGGUGGUUGCUAAGUGGUUGCUAGGUAGUUGCUAACGUAUUCCAGGUGGUUGCUAGGCAGUUGCUAAGUGGUUGCUAGGCAGUUGCUAACGUUUUCCAGGUGGUUGCUCAGUGGUUGCUAGGCAGUUGCUAACGUUUUCCAGGUGGUUGCUAAGUGGUUGCUUGGCAGUUGCUAACGUAUUCCAGGCGGUUGCUAGGCAGUUGCUAAGUGGUUGCUAGGCAGUUGCUAACGUUUUCCAAGUGGUUGCUAGGCAGAUGCUAAGUGGUUGCUAGGCAGUUGCUAACGUUUUCCAGGUGGUUGCUAAGUGGUUGCUAGGCAGUUGCUAACGUAUUCCAGGUGGUUGCUAGGCAGUUGCUAAGUGGUUGCUAGGCAGUUGCUAACGUUUUCCAGGUGGUUGCUCAGUGGUUGCUAGGCAGUUGCUAACGUUUUCCAGGUGGUUGCUAAGUGGUUGCUAGGCAGUUGCUAACGUAU